AUGAGGCAGGGCCUGGCUGCAUUGCCUUGGCGUGGUGCUGUGGGGCUUGGCAUGGCCUGGGCAUGGCACUGGUGUCCCCAGUGUGCGGGUGAGGGCUCCAGACCUGUGGCCAGGCAGUCUGCGUGCUCAGGCCAGCCCUGCCGUGCUUCUCCUGCUGCUCCUGCCACCUUGCACGAGCCUUUGCCCCAGCCGCAGUGCCAGGCUCCUCACCAGGGACGCGGCAGCGCCAGGCUCCUGGGCGGCGUGCCACCAAGUGCCGCCCUGCCAGGGGCACGCGCUGCCCGUGCCUCUCCUGUGCGUGCCACGUGUGUGCCCCCAGUGCCCCUCGUGCUGCUCUGGUGCCGUUCUGGGACUGGCGGCCCCACUUCCACCCUGAGAUACAGUCCCUACAUUGCAUGCCCCUCAGAUGGCGCUGCCUGGGUCUCUUCGGGGAUGGGGGGGGGUUCUGUUUACAGAGGGUCUUUUCGGGGGGAUCCCAUGCGCGUGGCUCUUCCCAUUCCCUUCCCAAUCUCUCCCCGAGCCCAGGACCCCGCUCUGCCCCUGCCGCAGGGCCGGCAGCAGCUCGCUCCGCCCUGCCGAGCUGCACGCACCCAGCCAGGGGCCGGGAGCACCGGAACGGGGCUGAGCCCGGGAGCCCGCAGCGAGCCGAGAGCCAUGGCGCACCAAGCUGCGUCCCCCCGCACCGCAGCCCCGGGGGCUCCCUUCCUGCUUCGUCCCGGCCCGGCACGUCCCAGGGCGGCAUUAAUGGGACUCGGGGCCGCUGCCGUGCUGCUGUGCGCGGUGCUGGGCCCCGAGCCGAGCGAGGCUCAGCCCUUCCCUUUCCGAGACCCAACGCUGCCCUGGCACCGCCGCCUCGAGGACCUGCUGGGCCGGCUGAGCCCUGAUGAGAUGGUGCUGCAGGUAGCCAGGGGGGGAGCGUUGGGGAACGGCCCCGCGCCCCCCAUCCCGCGCCUGGGCAUCGCGCCCUACAACUGGAACACCGAGUGCCUGCGGGGCGACGCGGAGGCGCCCGGGUGGGCCACGGCUUUCCCCCAAGCGCUGGGGCUCGCCGCUGCUUUCAGCCCCGAGCUCGUGUACCGGGUGGCCAACGCCACCGCCACCGAGGUGCGCGCCAAGCACAACCACUUCGCUGCCACCGGCCGCUACGACGACCACACGGGGCUCAGCUGCUUCAGCCCUGUGCUCAACAUCAUGAGGCACCCGCUGUGGGGCAGGAACCAGGAGACCUACGGGGAGGACCCGUUCCUGAGCGGGGAGCUGGCGGCGAGCUUCGUGCAGGGGCUGCAGGGCCGGCACCCGCGCUACAUCAAGGCCAGCGCCGGCUGCAAGCACUUCAGCGUGCACGGGGGCCCCGAGAACAUCCCCGUCUCCAGGCUCAGCUUCGAUGCCAAGGUGCUGGAGCGGGACUGGCGCACCACCUUCCUGCCCCAGUUCCAGGCGUGCGUGCGUGCCGGGUCCUACAGCUUCAUGUGCAGCUACAACAGGAUCAACGGCGUUCCCGCCUGCGCCAACAAGAAGCUGCUGACGGACAUCCUGCGGGGCGAGUGGGGCUUCGAGGGCUACGUGGUGAGCGACGAGGGGGCCGUGGAGCUCAUCAUGCUGGGGCACCGCUACACCCGCACCUUCCUGGAGACGGCCGUCGCGUCGGUGAACGCCGGCUGCAACCUGGAGCUGUCCUACAGGAUGAGGAACAACGUCUUCAUGCACAUCCCCCAGGCCCUGGCCAUGGGCAACAUCACGCUGGAGACGCUGCGUGCCAGGGUGCGGCCCCUCUUCUACACGCGGCUGCGGCUGGGGGAGUUCGACCCCCCAGCCAUGAACCCCUACAGCGCCCUGGACCUCAGCGUGGUGCAGAGCCCUGAGCACCGCAACCUCUCGCUGGAAGCUGCCGUCAAGAGCUUCGUGCUGCUGAAGAACCAGCGGGACACGCUGCCCCUGCGCGCCCGUGACCUGCCCGGCAAGUGCCUGGCGGUGGUGGGCCCCUUCGCGGACAAUCCCCGGGUGCUUUUUGGGGACUACGCGCCGGUGCCGGAGCCGCGGUACAUCUACACGCCCCGGAGGGGGCUGCAGAUGCUGCCGGCCAACGUCAGCUUUGCGGCGGGGUGCCGGCAGCCGCGGUGCCAGCAGUACUCGCGGGCAGAGGUGGAGGAUGCGGUGCGGGGAGCCGACGUGGUGCUGGUGUGCCUGGGGACAGGGAUAGAUGUGGAGACGGAGGCGAAGGACCGGAGGGACCUGGCGCUGCCAGGCCACCAGCUGGAGCUGCUGCAGGACGCCGUGCGGGCAGCCGCCGGGCGCCCCGUCAUCCUGCUGCUCUUCAACGCGGGGCCCCUGGACGUGAGCUGGGCGCAGGCACACGACGGCGUGGGGGCCAUCCUGGCCUGCUUCUUCCCCGCCCAGGCCACCGGGCUGGCCAUCGCCAGGGUCCUGCUGGGCGAGCAGGGGGCCAACCCCGCCGGCAGGCUGCCGGCCACGUGGCCAGCGGGCAUGCACCAGGUGCCCCCCAUGGAGAACUACACCAUGGAGGGGCGGACGUACCGCUACUACGGGCAGGAGGCCCCGCUCUACCCCUUCGGGUACGGCCUGUCCUACACCACCUUCCAGUACCGGGACCUGGUGCUGAGCUCCCCGGUGCUGCCCAUCUGCGCCAACCUCUCCGUGUCCGUGGUGCUGGAGAACACGGGGCAGUGGGACGGCGAGGAGGUGGUGCAGCUGUACCUGCGGUGGGAGCAGCCGUCGGUGCCGGUGCCCCGCUGGCAGCUGGUGGCCUUCCGCCGCGUGGCCGUGCCGGCCGGCCGGGCGACCAAGCUGUCCUUCGGGGUGCUGGCCGCCCAGCGCGCCGUCUGGACGCAGCACUGGCACCUGGAGCCCGGCACCUUCACCCUCUUCGCCGGUGGGCAGCAGCCGGGCCAGCAGACGAGGGCGCCUUCGGAGGUGCUGAGCGCGCGGUUCAGCACCAGCGGGGCCGCGCGGCCGCUGCGCGAGUGCUAGGGGUGGGAAGGGGCACGGGGGUGGGUCCGGGGCACGGGGACGGGUCCUGGGAAUGGGGAUGGGUCCUGGGCAUGGGGACGGGUCCUGGGGACGGGGACGGGUCCUGGGCACAGGGAGCAGGGGGAAGGAGGAGGCUGCUUGGACACGGGGAGCGCAGCGCUCUGCCUUACAAUAAAGUGCCCAGCGCUGCUCCA
ensembl:lncRNA